GAUGAACGCUGACAGAAUGCUUAACACAUGCCAGUCUUUGGCGAAGCUGUGCUUGCACAGCCUAGCCAAGGCGGACGGGUGAGUAACGCGUAAGGAACUUGCCCUGCAGUCAGGGAUAACAGACGGAAACGACUGAUAAGACCUGGUAAAGUCAGGCGGACUCAUGUCCAGCCUGAUGAAAAGUGAUGCUGCAGGAGAGCCUUGCGUCCUAUUAGCUUGUUGGUGGGGUAACGGCCCACCAAGGCGAUGAUAGGUAGCCGGCCUGAGAGGGUGGACGGCCACAAGGGGACUGAGAUACGGCCCUUACUCCUACGGGAGGCAGCAGUGGGGAAUAUUGGACAAUGGGGGCAACCCUGAUCCAGCAAUUCUGUGUGCACGAUGAAGGUUUUCGGAGUGUAAAGUGCUUUCAGCAGGGAAGAAAAAAAUGACGGUACCUGCAGAAGAAGCGACGGCUAAAUACGUG
rnacentral:rRNA from 1 species